rnacentral:misc_RNA from 1 species
GAACGCACCUUGCGCUCCUUGGUAUUCCGAGGAGCAUGCCUGUUUGAGUGUCAUUAAUAUAUAUCAACCACUUCUUGUUGAGUGGCUUGGAUGUGGGGGUUUUUUGCUGGCCUCUCGAAGGGUCAGCUCCCCUGAAAUGCAUUAGCAGAACCAACCUGUUCAUUGGUGUGAUAACUAUCUACGCUAUUGAAAGGUGAAGUCAGUUCAGCUUCCUAACCGUCCUCGGACAAUCUAUCAUUUAUGUGACCUCAAAUCAGGUAGGAAUACCCGCUGAACUUAAG